UAUGUGUGUAUCAAUUGUGUGAAA
rnacentral:miRNA from 1 species